rnacentral:rRNA from 1 species
CAGUAGCCGCGGUAAUACGUAGGUGGCAAGCGUUGUCCGGAAUUAUUGGGCGUAAAGGGCUCGCAGGCGGUUUCUUAAGUCUGAUGUGAAAGCCCCCGGCUCAACCGGGGAGGGUCAUUGGAAACUGGUUGACUUGAGUGCAGAAGAGGAGAGUGGAAUUCCAUGUGUAGCGGUGAAAUGCGUAGAUAUAUGGAGGAACACCAGUGGCGAAGGCGACUCUCUGGUCUGUAACUGACGCUGAGGCUCGAAAGCGUGGGUAGCAAACAGGAUUAGAUACCCCGGUAGUCCCUGUCUCUUAUCC